rnacentral:misc_RNA from 1 species
UAGACGCGGAGAAACAGGG